CAGCAGCCGCGGUAAUACAGAGGGUGCGAGCGUUAAUCGGAUUUACUGGGCGUAAAGCGUGCGUAGGCGGCUUUUUAAGUCGGAUGUGAAAUCCCUGAGCUUAACUUAGGAAUUGCAUUCGAUACUGGGAAGCUAGAGUAUGGGAGAGGAUGGUAGAAUUCCAGGUGUAGCGGUGAAAUGCGUAGAGAUCUGGAGGAAUACCGAUGGCGAAGGCAGCCAUCUGGCCUAAUACUGACGCUGAGGUACGAAAGCAUGGGGAGCAAACAGGAUUAGAUACCCGAGUAGUCCCUGUCUCUUAUAC
rnacentral:rRNA from 1 species